rnacentral:rRNA from 1 species
CCUACGGGAGACAGCAGUGAGGAAUAUUGGUCAAUGGGCGCGAGCCUGAACCAGCCAAGUAGCGUGAAGGAUGACUGCCCUACGGGUUGUAAACUUCUUUUGCCGGGGAGCAACGGGCGCCACGUGUGGCGUCACUGAGAGUACCCGGAGAAAAAGCAUCGGCUAACUCCGUGCCAGCAGCCGCGGUAAUACGGAGGAUGCGAGCGUUAUCCGGAUUUAUUGGGUUUAAAGGGUGCGUAGGCGGAUCGUAAGGUCAGUGGUAAAAUUGAGGGGCUCACCCCCUUCCCGCCAUUGAAACUGGCGUUCUUGAGUGGAAGAGAAGUAUGCGGAAUGCGUGGUGUAGCGGUGAAAUGCAUAGAUAUCACGCAGAACCCCGAUUGCGAAGGCAGCAUGCCGGCUUCCGACUGACGCUGAAGCACGAAAGCGUGGGGAUCGAACAGGAUUAGAUACCCCAGUAGUC